CCUGGCUAUACAUGAGCAAAAUCUCAACUUGUGACGGUUAACGGGGGAUUAGGGUUCGAUUCCGGAGAGGGAGCCUGAGAAACGGCUACCACAUCUAAGGAAGGCAGCAGGCGCGCAAAUUACCCAAUUCUAACAGUUUGAGAGAGGUAGUAACAAGAAAUAACAAUACAAGGCAGUUAAAAUGCUUUGUAAUUGGAAUGAUAGAAAUUUAAACCCUUUUUAAAGUAUCAAUUGGAGGGCAAGUCUGGUGCCAGCAGCCGCGGUAAUUCCAGCUCCAAUAGCGUAUAUUAAAAUUGUUGCAGUUAAAAAGCUCGUAGUUGAAGUUCUGCUGAAAGUAACCGGUCUGCUUUUAAUAAAAGUGGUAUCUUGGUAUGUAUUUAGCAAUGAUGUCCUUUGAAGUGUUUUUUACUUUAUUGUAAUAAAGCAUAUUCAGGACUUUUACUUUGAGAAAAUUAGAGUGUUUCUAGCAGGCUGACGCUUUGAAUACUGCAGCAUGGAAUAAUAAGAUAGGAUUUUAGUUCUACAUUAUUGGUUUUAAGAGCUAAAUUAAUGAUUGAUAGGGACAGUUGGGGGCAUUUGUAUUUAACUGUCAGAGGUGAAUAGGGGAUCGAAGACGAUCAGAUACCGUCGUAGUCUUAACUAUAAACUAUGCCGACUAGAGAUUGGAGGUCGUCUUUAUAAACGACUCCUUCAGCACCUUACGAGAAAGCUUUAAUGAUUGAUAGGGACAGUUGG
rnacentral:rRNA from 1 species